rnacentral:rRNA from 1 species
GAUGAACGCUGGCGGCGUGCCUAAUACAUGCAAGUCGAGCGAACAGAUGAGGAGCUUGCUCCUCUGACGUUAGCGGCGGACGGGUGAGUAACACGUGGAUAACCUACCUAUAAGACUGGGAUAACUUCGGGAAACCGGAGCUAAUACCGGAUAAUAUAUUGAACCGCAUGGUUCAAUAGUGAAAGACGGUUUUGCUGUCACUUAUAGAUGGAUCCGCGCCGCAUUAGCUAGUUGGUAAGGUAACGGCUUACCAAGGCAACGAUGCGUAGCCGACCUGAGAGGGUGAUCGGCCACACUGGAACUGAAACCCGGUCCAGACUCCUACGGGAGGCAGCAGUGGGGAAUCUUCCGCAAUGGGCGAAAGCCUGAUGGAGCAACGCCGCGGGAGUGAUGAAGGUCUUCGGAUCGUAAAACUCUGUUAUUAGGGAAAAAAAAAUGUGUAAGUAACUAUGCACGUCUUGACGGUACCUAAUCAGAAAGCCACGGCUAACUACGU